rnacentral:rRNA from 1 species
UGGGGAAUAUUGCACAAUGGGCGCAAGCCUGAUGCAGCCAUGCCGCGUGUAUGAAGAAGGCCUUCGGGUUGUAAAGUACUUUCAGCGGGGAGGAAGGCGAUAAGGUUAAUAACCUUGUCGAUUGACGUUACCCGCAGAAGAAGCACCGGCUAACUCCGUGCCAGCAGCCGCGGGAAUACGGAGGGUGCAAGCGUUAACUGGAAUUACUGGGCGUAAAGCGCACGCAGGCGGUCUGUCAAGUCGGAUGUGAAAUCCCCGGGCUCAACCUGGGAACUGCAUUCGAAACUGGCAGGCUAGAGUCUUGUAGAGGGGGGUAGAAUUCCAGGUGUAGCGGUGAAAUGCGUAGAGAUCUGGAGGAAUACCGGUGGCGAAGGCGGCCCCCUGGACAAAGACUGACGCUCAGGUGCGAAAGCGUGGGGAGCAAACA